rnacentral:rRNA from 1 species
AAUCCUGGUGGCGAGUGCGAACGGGUGAGUAAUAUAUCGGAACGUGCCCAGUCGUGGGGGAUAACGCAGCGAAAGCUGUGCUAAUACCGCAUACGAUCUACGGAUGAAAGCGGGGGAUCGCAAGACCUCGCGCGAUUGGAGCGGCCGAUAUCAGAUUAGCUAGUUGGUGAGGUAAAGGCUCACCAAGGCGACGAUCUGUAGCUGGUCUGAGAGGUCGUCCAAGCCACACUGGAACUGAGGCUCGGUCCAGACUCCUACGGGAGGCAGCAGUGGGGAAUUUUGGACAAUGGGCGCAAGCCUGAUCCAGCAAUGCCGCGUGCAGGAUGAAGGCCUUCGGGUUGUAAACUGCUUUUGUACGGAGCGAAAAGGACUCACUCUAAUACAGGGGGCUCACGACGGGACCGUAAGAAUGU